AGGGGCCCUGGGACCAAGCUGGGGUCUCACUUACUUGGUUGAUCGAGGGACCACCAUGUCUGAGAGAGAUUCGUAGGUUUUUUGCCAUUGUGAGUAGUUUGGUCUGCAAGAACAUAGAAUCGUUACGUGAUUUUUUGCAGAAAAGGCUCGUGGGUGUCCUGAGUGCCUAGGAAGCUGCACACCCCUUUUCCUGAAGGCCUGAAGGAAGACAGCUGGCCCAGUGACCCUCAGAAGUGGAUUGCAGAAGUGGGGGUACCUCCCAGGUUCUCCAGGUUUGUCUUCAGAGUGUUGUAGGCGGCCGUUCGGGACUUCAGGUCCAUCUCGAUCUGCGCCAGUUGCUGUUUUGGGAAAGCAAAAGCUCCAGGUGACCCUGAGCAUUGAAGGAGUUGGCUGAACUUUUUGAAAUGGCCACAACAGCUCAUGGUGCUUUCAAGAAAAAUAACUGCCCUGCCCAUUUGCUGGGAUGGCUUCUGUUUACCAGCAUUUGGCCCUUCCAGGGAGCCCCUGUGUGGCACCCAGGCGCCAAGCCAUGAUGGAUUUUCUAGGAUGACUCAGUGAGCCCAACCUUUCCUGAUUUCAAGCCCAUCCUGAACGGUCGGGACAUCCCACGCCCACACCUACCCUCUCAGGCUCUGCUGGAGGGCAGCUCAGGCUGACCCCCAAUCGUUGCUUCCAGGGGUACCCGACAUGGCCUGGCCCUCUCAAAUGCCCAUGUCUCCUGGCUCGGCUGUGCCGAUCUCCCUCUCAUGGGUUGGCAGGGGCAGGGAGGUGCAGUGGACAGAAACAAGACAGGCCUGGGCUCAAGCCACGCCCUCCUGCUUUCUGGCCGACUGGCUCAGGUUUCCCCAUUUGUUCCACAGCGGGGAUAAUGCCAGUGCUGAGAGCCGACUGUGCCAGGCUCCUUCACAUUCCCUCCUCGCAGCCCCACGUCGUGACACCCCACCAGCUUUGACAACCAGCCACGGCAGGAGCAUUUACACCACGGUCAUCCACAAAUGCUACAGGCCAGCACACGGCUGCUGACGGGAGAAUCUCAAGAGUCAACAGAUGAAGAAAAUGGGUGCUCCAUAGAAUGCCAACAGCUUUAGUCUAAAUAUACACAUUUUUAUACAUGGAAGAAUCCAUUGUCAACUUUUAAACAUUGGUUACCUUUUGGGAGAAUAAAGGGAAUGGGGGCGAUGAUCACAGCUCGGAUGAUAUUAUUAUUUUAAAGAUAAAAUCAUAAAAUAAUUUUAAAGAUAAAAUAAAUAUAAUUAAAAUGAUAAAAUGAUUAAAUUAAAUGAUUAUAUUAAAAUGGUA
rnacentral:lncRNA from 10 species